rnacentral:rRNA from 1 species
GACGAACGCUGGCGGCGUGCUUAACACAUGCGAGUCGAACGGAAAGGCCCUGCUUUUGUGGGGUGCUCGAGUGGCGAACGGGUGAGUAACACGUGAGUAACCUGCCCUUGACUUUGGGAUAACUUCAGGAAACUGGGGCUAAUACCGGAUAGGAGCUCCUGCUGCAUGGUGGGGGUUGGAAAGUUUCGGCGGUUGGGGAUGGACUCGCGGCUUAUCAGCUUGUUGGUGGGGUAGUGGCUUACCAAGGCUUUGACGGGUAGCCGGCCUGAGAGGGUGACCGGCCACAUUGGGACUGAGAUACGGCCCAGACUCGUACGGGAGGCAGCAGUGGGGAAUAUUGCACAAUGGGCGGAAGCCUGAUGCAGCAACGCCGCGUGCGGGAUGACGGCCUUCGGGUUGUAAACCGCUUUCGCCUGUGACGAAGCGUGAGUGACGGUAAUGGGUAAAGAAGCACCGGCUAACUACGUG